GCCCAGAGAGGUGGGCAACUACCACUCAGGGCCGGAAAGUUCUCCAAACUUGGUCAUUUAGAGGAAGUAAAAGUCGUAACAAGGUCUCCGUUGGUGAACCAGCGGAGGGAUCAUUA
rnacentral:rRNA from 1 species